rnacentral:lncRNA from 1 species
GGAAACCUUGGAUUGGGAUCUACAAAGUUUGCUAUUAGCUGGAUGAUGUCCUUUCUUCAAAGUUGUCCUCCUAUAGUAAGUACCUAGAAGUAGUCACUGUUCAGGCCUAGCUAAACAGAAACUAUUUUUUUUUUUUACUAAUUAAACACAAGUUUUCUCUAUGACAUGAUCUAGCUUACAAAACUGAAGUAAUAUAUAAAUUUGAUAAUUUUAUUAUUUAAUUAAAAUUAAAUGGUUCUACAUUUGAGAUCUGAUUUAUUAAGGCACUGAAAUGAUGUUUUAGAUAUGAUCCUUACUUUAUGAAGAACUCUUAAGAUAAAAAUAUAAGAUAUUAAAUUAUUGGCUGUAUAAUUAAGUAAAAAUGAUUAAUCUUCACCUUUAACAUCGAGUAUGAAUAUAACAAUGGGAAUCACCUGUGCACUCUGUGCUGGCAGUCACCAUUCUGGCCCAAGAUUGGUGACAUUAUACAUUAUUGGUGACAUUAUACCAAUAUACAUAUUGGUGACAUAAUAUGUAUAAUGUCACCAAUCUUCUUUUUUGACACUACAUUCCCAAAUAAAUGGCUUAACUUUGUCUUCCCACCAGAUUAUAGCCAGAGGGAGCUAUUUGAAAUAAAAAUCUGAUUGUCAUUCCUUACUUUAAAUCUCUUAGCAGUUCUUCUCUAAAUAAAGGCUAGACUCCUUAAAAUGGCCUUCAAGGCCUUGUGAGCUCUGGCUCUAUAGCCUCAUCUGGUCCCUUACUCACCCAGCUAUGUGGGGGCUCUUAUUCACUCCCACCCUGCUUCCCCCACUGACUUCAUCACAGGACCUAUCAUUUCCCUCCAUCUCUGUCUUAGUCUAUUUUGUGUGGCUAUAACAAACUAACACAGACUGGGUAAUUUAUAAAGAACAGAUAUUUAUUUCACUCAUGGUUCUGCAGACUGGGAAGGCCAAGAUUGAGGGGCUGCAUCUUGUGAGGGCCUUCUUAUUACAUUGUCCCAUGGGUGAAGGUGAAGUGGAGUAGAGGAGUGAACUCACUUUUGUAUCACACUCACUCUUGCAAUAUCAACCCCACUCCAGUGGGCAUCCCUGUCCAAUAACAACAUUUAUCUACCUCACUACACUGUUGCAUUAGGGAUUGAGUUUUGUAACACAUGAACACGGGGCACAAAUUCAAGCCACAGCAAUCUUGCUGUCCGAAGUGCUUAUCCCUCUUUCCCACCUAGUUGACCACUUCUCAUCUUUCAGGCCUCACUGCCCUUUCCUGUAGGGAAGCAGAGGAUGAUUUUCUGACCCUCUGACUAGGUUAGGCUUUCCCUACACAGGCACACACAGUGCACAGCAGGGUCUUCUUCAUUGAAAUUGUCACUGCUACAGAUAAUAUUUGUGCUGUUAUAUGGUUCUGCCCUGUAAUAGCCAUUAGUGGCACAUUCUGGCUCUCUCUCCUAGGCACAUGGUACAAUUCUACAUCCCUCUGCACUUGAAAUUAGAUGGGUCUCUGUUACUUUGGCAAAUGAAAUGUGAGCCCAAGUAACCUGUCACUUCUGGGCAGAAGCUGUAAGAGCCAGGGCAUUCUUUUUCCUUCUGGCAUGGUGACUGGCAAUGUUCCACAUGUUGAUUGCUCCACCAGCUGAUGACCCUGAUGAACAGGGCCCCCAAUAAUACAAGAGGGACAUACAGUGUAAAGUAAUAAACUUUUGCUGUUUUAUGGAAAGCAUUGGUAGUUUUAGAGGUUUGUUACCAUAACAUUACCUACUUCAUCGUUACUGAUAUAAUGUUUUUUUUUUCUCUCCAUAGAUUUCAAGUGUCACAAGGGUGGGAGCUAUAUCUGUUGUGUUAGGCACAUAAUAAAUGUUGAAUAAAAUAUCUACUUCAUUGAUUCUAAUAAAGACUCUAUCCCUUAAUCUAUUCUCACUCUCCUAGUUUCCCUUUAUUCAUUCAUACAUAAUUCAUUUAAUUGGAAAUCUCGUUCAAAAGCAAGUAUUCCUAACUUAAUUUUCAUUGCUAAUAGAGGACUUAACACAAGGUAAUUGUUAUCUUCCCAUAUAUGAACAUGCCUCUGGGGACCAACAGUGUUUCCCUGCUUUGAGCUGUUUUUCCAGAGCAAUGUUGAAUCUGCCCCAUGGAAUCUAGAUUCUCUUGUCAGAUUCCUAUGACAUAUGUUUACAAAAAGCUGGCUGGGGCCAAACACUUGUAAGCUGAGCAACAAACUGCCUUAUACAAAGACCGAGCCCCUGGUCUUGGCUACUUCAGCAGUGCACAGACCCCAACCAGUUUUAGGCCCACUUAGGAGUGCCAUAAUUUUUACUGUUAACAACAGAAGGCCAAAUGUACAAGAUGCAAGACCCCUUUUUGUGCAGUGGUUGUAGGCCCUGUCAUCUAAACUGAGGGGUAAAAAUAUGGGGUCUGCAAGAUUCCAAACAAUAGGGAAGCUCCUUUGUCAACCUCUAGAGUUGGUUCUCCAAAGGAAUUGAACUAAGUAUAACGCCAUGCUAUAAUCAUAAAGCAUGUCAAAAUGAAGGGUGGCAAAAGCCAAAGGGAUCACUAACACCAUAAAAAGCAUCAACAUUAACCCAAUUCUAAACAGCAUGGGUAGAAACAGUCCAUUUGAGAGAAAUCUGCAAGCAAAGAGACCAACGUACCACCUCCAUAUCAAUCAGCUCUGAUUAUCUUAUUUGGUUAAAACAAGUGCUGAAGAACUUCAAAACUUAAUCCCCAGUCAGUAUGACUUGGUGCUGAGUACCAUUUCAAUGAGAAAUAGUACAGAGGUGUUGGUGCAAGUGUGGUGAGGACUUCAACCUAGACUUGUAAAUGACACUCCAGCUGAAAUAGGAACUCUUGUGGGUUGAAUGUAGCCUAUAUGUAAUGGCAUUUUCCUUGUCUAGGUUACCUUUGUGGCCAGUAUUGUGAAACAAGUAGUGAAGGGGCUUUCAGCUUCAUUGCAACUGCUAAGUCCCUUCCAAGCAGUUCUGUUGUACCAGCAGUUUUACAUCCUCAAGAGCUGCCUGCAAUACAGCAAGACUCUAGCUGAGUAUAUCAGGAAUGACUACAGCGAAGAAUUUAGGUAAGGGGAAAAAAAAAUCUGCAUCUAAUCUGCAAUAUGACCACUCUUUUCUGAUUUUCUUACAAACCUGCAACAUGGCCCAAUGUUUAGGUUAUGUGAUGACAAAAAAUAUAUAUUUUUGUCUUUAAUAAUAUUGCACUUUGAUCAGAGGAAAGAAAGUAUUUGGGGGGCAGGGGAUGUGGCUCAAGCGGUAGCGCGCUCGCCUGGCAUGCGUGCGGCCCAGGUUCGAUCCUCAGCACCACAUACAAACGAAGAUGUUGUGUCUGCAAAAAACUAAAAAAUAAAUAUUAAAAUUCUCUCUCUCUCUCUCUAAAAAAAAGAAAGAAAGAAAGAAAGAAAGAAUUUGGGGGAGAAUUCAAAGAAUUUUGCCGUUCAAAAUAUAUUCCAGGUCAGAAAAUACUAGUGAAACAUCAAACUCUCUUUGGAGGAUUGUUUCUCACUCUUUGUCUUUCUUGAAGCUGGCCUGUCACAUUAGUAAUGAUUGUAACCUGCUGUGAGUAAUUAAGAGUAACAAACCCUAAGGAAGGGAAUGGUAAAUUAUGGACUGUGAAUUCAAUUGAGUCAUUAAAAAAUCAAUAGAUAAUGGAGGAACAAUUAAUGAACGGUGUUAACGAGGUUUUUUUUUUUUUUCUUUUUUGUCUCAUUUAUCCUUCCCUUCUCUUACUCAGAAAGGGAACAGUAAGAAAGAGCAGUAGCCAGCAUUGGUUUCAUCAGCCAGCUUGUUCUCUUGCACCUCAGGGGUUCCACUUCUAUUUAUAGGCUGGCAAAGCCACAGCCUGCAUUAGCACCUAUUAAGGAAAAAACCCAGGUUGUGUCUGCCUUAAGAUGAAAGAGUGCAGCUGGCAUAGCUUUGUUACUAGUUUGGAUGGAGCUAGAUAAGGCUGUGGAGACAUCCAUUAUGGCCUAAGAUUGACUUCACAAAAAUUUGGCCCCAUUUGUAAGGUCUGUUUUUCCUCAUACACCAUAGGGUUCAUUAUGGCUCCCAUAAAGAGGAUUCAUUUGACUCUGGGUUUGUCCAACAACCCAGUCCCCACCCCCUACUCCUGUCUCCUCAUAUCUUUUUUCCUUUUUAUUAAGGAAAAUUCACGUAGCAUAAAAUUCACCAUUUAAAAUUGUAUAGUCCACUGUCUUUUUAAUAUAUUCCACAAUGUUUUGCAACCGUUGCUAUUACUAAAUUUAGGUUUGUGAUCCUUGUUUUAACCUAGGAUUUUUCAACUUGCUUUGCAUUAGAAUCUCCUUAGUAACCAUUGACAAUACUGUUACCCAGGUCUGGUCUCCCACCUCGAAAGUCUGAGUUUUCUGAGCUGGGGUCUGGGCACUGAGAGUUUAUAAAGCUCUCCAGGUGAUUUUAAUGUACACUUGGAGUUGAAAACCAUUUUGUAAGCCAUCCAAGGGGAGGCUUUCUCACUUUUGUCUCUUUCACAGCUUUCCUAUACUGAGCUUGUGGGAUAAACCCUCUCUUUCCUCUUGACUUUGCCCUAGCAGUCUCCACAGCUUGGCACUUCCAUUUCAACUCCCCAUUGUGCAUUGCCUGAGAAACCACAGGAGCCUCAACUCAUCCUUUGGCUUCCUUAUUAAUGCCUUGAUAACUGAUACAUUAUUAAUGAAAUUCACUUCCUUUGCUUAAGUAAAGUGCUUCAGUGAGCUGAAAGGUCCACAUAUCAAGAGAUUUUCUAGGUCAUAAAUGGGGGAGGUUGGGAGGCUUUAAAUGUUGACUGAAUCUUGUGGCUCAGACUCACACACCCACAAUCCUGCACCACUUAGUGUGAAUGUGACCAGUAUGAAAUUCGUGUUCUUAAAGAUCUCUCUUUUGUUUCUCUUUGUGAUUUUCAGGUACUUUAUUCAUAUGCCAGCCUUGGAAAAGAAGCUCCCAUUGUGUUACCCUAUUACUCAGCCAACCACUCAACUUUUUCAUGAAAUUCUCAAAUUGGUUGAACAGAAACAAUAUGUAAAAUGUUAAUAAGAAUAUAAAAUGUUAAUUGGGAGUGGAAAUCUAUGAAAAAAUUAUUUAUUUAUUUAUUUAUUUAAUUCAUCUUGAGUUCUAUAAACAAAGAUUUUAUCUAAAUGUUACAUCAAUACCUAUGAUGUUUCAUCAAUACCUAAGAGGUCCUUGAAGUUUAUCUGCUAAAAACAAACAAACAACAACAAAAAACCCUGUAAGAAUGGUGCUAAAAACUAGCGUUUCUCCAGAAAGAAAAGUUUCUACAGACACAAAAAACUAAAAAGGGAACAGAAGCUCAAGGAGAAUAAUUGGUGUGAAGCCAUUAAAAUAUAUAAUGAAAAAUUGUUGUACAGAGUAUAAACUACAGAGUCAUCAAUAGAGAAAUGUUGAGCAAUAGGAUGACACCCUACUUUUCCACCUUUAAAAACUAGUGGCAAAAGUAUUUUUGGAAGAAUGAGCAGGAGAAACACAGGCACAGCUGAACAGAAUGUCAGCUCCUCAUUUGUCAAGGAUAAAGAAGCCUGGACUUUCUUUUCUUUUUUUUGAACUCAGGGACUCAGGGGCACCCAGCCACUGAGCCACAUCCCCAGCCCUAUUUUGUAUUUUUUUAGAGACAGGGUCUCACUGAGUUGCUUAGGGCCUUGCUUUUGCUGAGGCUGGCACUUGUGAUCCUCCCACUUCAGCCUAUGAGCUGCUGGGAUUACAGGAGUGCACCACCGUGCCCGGCACGAAGCAUAGACUUUCGUGAACAAAACCAAAUGCUUUAUAUACAGAGUUGCCAUGAAUGGAUAAUUAUGAAUUUAAUGCAUUCCACUAUUGUCAUAUAUGUAAGAAAUAAAUAAAAAUUAAAAUUAAAAAAACCCAAAAAACCCAAAUGCAGUUGGGUGCAGUGUCUCACGCCUGUAAUCCCAGUGUUUCAGGAGGCUGAGGCAGGAGGAUGAGUUCAAAGCCAGACUCAGCAAAAACGAGGUGCUAAGCAACUCAGUGAGACCCUGUCUCUAAAUAAAAUACAAAGUAGUGAAGCCAGAAUUAGACAGGCAGUCAGUAUAGAUAGGUAAAUCGAGUUAGGUCGGAUUAAGGAGGCCAGUUUUGAGUGAGUCUGGGAAGUUGGAGACUGCCCCCUGAGGGAUUGAAAUGUUAAUUCCUUCAGAGCCCUUCCUCACCCUUAUCAAGAAACUGCCCCUGCUCCAACUUGUUGCCAAGGUAACCUGUCCCAGGAAUUGCCCCUCCCUACAGGGAGCUCUAAGUGUGCUGGGGUUUGCACCAUCCUGCCCUUCCCCCUUCAGCCCACCUGUUUCCCACCCUUGGGCCAUCCUACCAAGCAUUCCUGGGCCUAGUCAUUUAUGCGGGAAGGAGAAAGAUAAGGGGGAAAAGGGAGGAGAACAAAGGAAGCAUAGGACAUCUAAAAAGGGUAGAACGCCUCGCUUCUGAGGAUACCAGCUAUGGCCCCCUUCUCCCUCCUGGAAGAAGUCUGUGUUACCCCAUUUUUUAAAAAAAAUCCUGCUUUAUAUGCUUGCCUCAUUGUGCUUCUCUAAUGUUCAAACUUCAACUUGCUGGAAGCAGAACUCGUCACCAAUAACUGGCAGUGUCAGUAGGGCUGGGAAUGUGGCUUAGUGGUUGAGUGCCCUUGAGUUCCAUCCCUGGUACUCAAAAUCCAAACACCAAAACAAACGAACAAAAAAAUCCCACAAAUGAUUCUGCCACUCUACUUCAGGCACCUGUGGGUAAUGUGAACAGUCCCAUAGAGUCUCUGUGGAAGAGAAAUUAUUCAUGAGCAGUGAAGGCUCUCCCACAACCAUUUAAAAAAGAGAUCUUUAUUAUUAUUAUGGCUAUAAACUAAUCCCACAAAUACUUAACUUUGGUGUCAUUGUGAGCUAUGGAAUUUUGACUUCUAAGAACUUAGGAACUGGGCCUUCUGUGAACUUAUCAUGAUUUGAGGAAGGAUAAGAGAAAAAUCUACCUCCAAAGAAAGAGUUCCCAGCUGGGCAUGGUGGUGCUUGCCUGGAAUCCCAGCAGUUUGGGAGGCUAAGGCAGGAGGAUUGGGAAUUCAAAGCCAGCUUCAGAAAUUUAGCAAGGCACUAAGCAACUCAGCAAGAUCCUGUCUUUCAAUUAAAAAAAAAAAAUAAAAAAAUAUAUAUAUAUAGAUAGAUAGAUAGAUAGAUAGAUAUAGAUAAUAUUUGCAUUAUUACCAAAUAUAUAUAUGCGUUAUUUGCAUUAUUGCCAUAUAUAUAUAUGGCUGAGGAUUGGCUCAGGUUCAAUUCCCAGUACCCUACCCUGAAAAAAAAAAAUUCCCAGCCAUAUUCACCUGUGUUGAAUAAUGUAAUUAUAGUUACAGUUUGUUGAGGACUUUCAGCAGAUUCUUAAUCACCAUGUUCUGCAAUAUUUAAAUAAACUAUUUUGUAAUUAUAAAUUUAGUAUACAGAACAUUUGUAUUGGUUCUUAUUGAUUUUCCAAGGCCUUUCUUAGAUUUAAUAUUUACAUAGUUUACAUACAUUCUAUGUAAAAAUAGACCUGCUCUAAACCUGAGACUUUAGGUGAAAAUUGUACAUACACAUAUGCUGUUAGUUUUUAAAAUGUCUAUGUCUAUGACAAGGAUGAAAUUUCUACAUUGUUCUGCCUCUCAGAAGCGCCAGCUCUUAGCAGUGCCAACCACGGCCUGUCAUCAUGAGCACCCUGUAGACUGUACCUGCAGCUUCAGAAAUGACUUAAUCUGCCAGUAGCAAGGUUUCCCUCAUUUAUAAACCCUAUGUGCUUGUAUUGUUGUUAGGCCAGUAUUUAAUGCAUAAAGGCAGAAUUAUUGUGAGAUUUUUAAAAAAUGCAAACAUAAAUGCAAUCCUGACUUAAAACUAAAAGACUGGUAUAAUGUUACUUUUAAAAAUAAUACUUAGGACUCAGGAUAUAGCUCAGUUGGUGCUUGUCUUGCAUGCACAAGGCCCUGGGUUCAAUCCCCAGCACCACACACACACACACACACACACACACACACGCACACUAAUAAUAAUAUUUAGACACAAUGAUAAAAUUUUUAUAUAUUGUUUUGUUUACAAAUUAUCUGUUAGCCUUGUUUCUAUGAGAUGUUUUUAAUGUGACUUUUAAAAAUGUCUUAGAAAUGAAAGUUGCAGAAAGUAAGAGGAAAAAAAUAGGAUAUCUUAUUCCUGGUUCUAAGCCAAAUACUGAUUUUGCUUCAGGUUUUAUUCUACUUCUUUCCAGGCCUUAUCUACUUCUUUCUGGGCUUCCUUCUGUUAGGCGGAAGGGUGGGACUGGAUGCUAAGUUCCCUUUCUCUGCCUGUAAGAAACAAUUUUUUUGUUUUUAAAGAGAGAGAGAGAGAGACAGAGAGAAUUUCUAAAUAUUUAUUUAUUUAUUUUUAGUUUUUGGCGGACACAACAUCUUUGUUUGUAUGUGGUGCUGAGGAUCGAACCUGAGCACGCUACCGCUUGAGCCACAUCCCCAGCACAUGAAACAAUUUUUGACACUCUGAAAUGGGAUAGUGUGUUCCUCUGCCAUCCUGGCUUAGUAGAUGAUUUCACACUGGUUCCAAAUAAUCCUGCUUUCUUUGUGUCACCAACAUUGUCCCACAAAGUCUCCAGUCUUCUCACCAUCACCCAUUAAGGAAUCCAAGUCAUCCACUUUGGGAGCAAAAUGAGCAUUCUGGGCUGCUAGAUGAGGGAUUAUUCCCAAGAGAUGGUCAGUCAGAGGAGUGUGACGAGAUUCUGAGGACACCAGCAUACAUCACUUGAAACUAGACAAAUGGUAUACUGAUGAAACCCAUAGGACAACACCAAGAGCAUCAACAACUCAGUUACACUUUGUCUUCUGGAAAUACCCUGGCUAGUAGGGUGCUUCUACCUGGGAAGGUAGUAGUGCAGGCUUUUUUUUUUUUCUU